UGAGCCCUCAGAGCUUACGUCAUGGUCGUUCUACAGAGCAGGGAUAGCAGAGUUUGUAGCGACUUUUCUGUUUCUCUACAUCACCAUCUUAACAGUCUUCGGUGUCCUUAGGUCUCCCACCAAGUGCCAAUCCGUUGGUAUUCAAGGAAUCGCUUGGGCCUUCGGUGGCAUGAUCUUCGCCCUCGUUUACUGCACCGCCGGAAUCUCAGGUUCACUUUUUUUUUUCCUCAUCAACUCUAGGAAUUUUAUGUUUUUUUCAGUUGUUUAAGAUAAACAACGUUGCUUGUUUGUGUUUGUGGUGCAGGGGGUCACAUAAACCCUGCGGUUAC
rnacentral:lncRNA from 1 species